ACAAAUAAAACGUGUAUUGUGUCAGAGAGUAGGAAGCACUGUGGAGGUUUACACAGGCUGACACACUUCGGAAGCGCAAAGUGGGGAGGGCCACGCUCUGCGCGGGUCUACAGUUCCAGCGGAGGUGCCCUACGACCUUCCGCCGGCUGCGCGUGAGAUGUGGGCGGGGCCAAUCUCCCCUCCAAUCACGGCUCAGCGUGCCUCGGCGGGGCGGGAGGAAGCGGCGCGGAGCGGUUCUGCGAUUUCAGGCUGUCACCAAGGGAACCGUCAGGCGGCCCAGUGACGACUCCUGUGUGGCCCCACGGGGCAUCUCAAGUCCAGGUUCUGGAGUCCGAGGUGUGAUUUGAGGGAGGGGCUGGAAGUCGGAGGGCUCCAUCUUCUCUGAUAGCACCUCCUGGCCUUGCACCUGGACUGUGACCUGGGGAGGUGCCCCCCACCAUCAGGAGCUCAGGUGAUGGAGGGAUGGGCCAGUGAUGCUGGCCCUGGAACCCCGUCUGCCCUCACACAGGGUCUGCUGCAGGUGACCACUUCCAAACCACAAGGGGCCAGUGUCUGGCUGAGCAUAGCACCUCCCAGGAAGAG